AGAGUUGAUUAUGGCUCAGGAUGAACGCUAGCGGCAGGCUUAACACAUGCAAGUCGAGGGGCAGCGGGAUGUAGCAAUACAUUGCCGGCGACCGGCGGAUGGGUGCGUAACGCGUAUGCAACCUACCUUAUACAGGGGAAUAACCUUUCGAAAGGGAGACUAACACCCCAUGGUAUUGAUUUAAGGCAUCUUAGAUUAAUUAAAUAUUUAUAGGUAUAAGAUGGGCAUGCGUAUGAUUAGCUAGUUGGUAAGGUAACGGCUUACCAAGGCGACGAUCAUUAGGGGUUCUGAGGGGAAGGUCCCCCACACUGGUACUGAGACACGGACCAGACUCCUACGGGAGGCAGCAGUGAGGAAUACUGGUCAAUGGGCGCAAGCCUGAACCAGCCAUGCCGCGUGCAGGAAAAGACGGCCUUAUGGGUUGUAAACUGCUUUUACAUAAGACUAACCGUAUAUUUGCGAAUAUACCUGAAUGUAUUAUGAGAAUAAGGAUCGGCUAACUCCGUGCCAGCCGCUGC
rnacentral:rRNA from 1 species